rnacentral:rRNA from 1 species
UACGUAGGUGGCAAGCGUUAUCCGGAAUUAUUGGGCGUAAAGAGCGCGCAGGUGGUUGAUUAAGUCUGAUGUGAAAGCCCACGGCUUAACCGUGGAGGGUCAUUGGAAACUGGUCGACUUGAGUGCAGAAGAGGGAAGUGGAAUUCCAUGUGUAGCGGUGAAAUGCGUAGAGAUAUGGAGGAACACCAGUGGCGAAGGCGGCUUCCUGGUCUGUAACUGACACUGAGGCGCGAAAGCGUGGGGAGCAAACAGGAUUAGAUACCCCCGUAGU